GGAAGGGUGCCCGAGUGGCUAAAGGGGGCGGACUGUAAAUCCGCUGGCGUACGCCUUCGUAGGUUCGAGUCCUACUUCCCCCACCA
rnacentral:tRNA from 1 species